UACGUAGGUGGCAAGCGUUGUCCGGAUUUACUGGGCGUAAAGAGCGCGCAGGCGGUCGGAUAAGUCGAAUGUGAAAGCCCCCGGCUCAACUGGGGAGGGUCAUUCGAUACUGUUCGACUCGAAGGCAGGAGAGGGAAGUGGAAUUCCCGGUGUAGUGGUGAAAUGCGUAGAUAUCGGGAGGAACACCAGUGGCGAAGGCGACUUCCUGGCCUGUUCUUGACGCUGAGGCGCGAAAGCCAGGGGAGCAAACGGG
rnacentral:rRNA from 1 species